GAGGAACAUUAUUCCUGAGCUAACAUCUGUGCCAGCCUUCCUCUACUUUGUAUGUGGGUCACCACCACAACAUGGCCACUGACAAGUAGUAUACAUGCAUACCUGGGAACCAAACCUGGGCCGCUGAAGCAGAGCACACCAAACUUAACUCCUGGGCCAUAGAGCCAGCCCCCAAAAUACUCUUCAACAUGUCUCUUUUAUUUUCCAUUUCUGACAAUUUUAAGCCUUCCACACUGUUGGUGUGUUUAUGAAUACAGAGUUGAGUUUGAAGAAGGCACCCCAGAGCUAAUGACACACGCUUGCCUUAAUGAUUCUUAAGUGCACCUGCUAUCUCAAACUCUGGGAAAUAUCUUUCUCCAGGGACUCCAGAUGAUUUCUAACUAUCCACACAGUAAAAUCUU
rnacentral:lncRNA from 1 species